AAGACUAUACUUUCAGGGAUCAUUUCUAUAGUCUGUUACUAGAGAAGAUUCUCUGAUCCUGUAGAGCAAUGAGGAAAUGACUAAAUGA
rnacentral:snoRNA from 1 species